GACGUAGGGCGCGAGCGUUGUCCGGAUUUAUUGGGCGUAAAGAGCUCGUAGGCGGUUUGUCGCGUCUGCUGUGAAAACUCGGGGCUUAACUCCGGGCCUGCAGUGGGUACGGGCAGACUAGAGUGCGGUAGGGGAGACUGGAAUUCCUGGUGUAGCGGUGAAAUGCGCAGAUAUCAGGAGGAACACCGGUGGCGAAGGCAGCUCGCUGGGACGUUACUGACGCUGAGACGCGAAAGCGUGGGGAGCAAACAGG
rnacentral:rRNA from 1 species